rnacentral:rRNA from 1 species
AAGCGGCAAAAGCUCAAAUUUGAAAUCUGGUACCUUCGGUGCCCGAGUUGUAAUUUGGAGAGGGCAACUUUGGGGCCGUUCCUUGUCUAUGUUCCUUGGAACAGGACGUCAUAGAGGGUGAGAAUCCCGUGUGGCGAGGAGUGCGGUUCUUUGUAAAGUGCCUUCGAAGAGUCGAGUUGUUUGGGAAUGCAGCUCUAAGUGGGUGGUAAAUUCCAUCUAAAGCUAAAUAUUGGCGAGAGACCGAUAGCGAACAAGUACAGUGAUGGAAAGAUGAAAAGAACUUUGAAAAGAGAGUGAAAAAGUACGUGAAAUUGUUGAAAGGGAAGGGCAUUUGAUCAGACAUGGUGUUUUGUGCCCUCUGCUCCUUGUGGGUGGGGGAAUCUCGCAUUUCACUGGGCCAGCAUCAGUUUUGGUGGCAGGAUAAAUCCAUAGGAAUGUAGCUUGCCUCGGUAAGUAUUAUAGCCUGUGGGAAUACUGCCAGCUGGGACUGAGGACUGCGACGUAAGUCAAGGAUGCUGGCAUAAUGGUUAUAUGCCGC